rnacentral:rRNA from 1 species
GUGAACGCUGGCGGUAGGCCUAACACAUGCAAGUCGAACGGCAGCACAGUAAGAGCUUGCUCUUACGGGUGGCGAGUGGCGGACGGGUGAGGAAUACAUCGGAAUCUACUUUUUCGUGGGGGGUAACGUAGGGAAACUUACGCUAAUACCGCAUACGACCUACGGGUGAAAGCAGGGGAUCUUCGGACCUUGCGCGAUUGAAUGAGCCGAUGUCGGAUUAGCUAGUUGGCGGGGUAAAGGCCCACCAAGGCGACGAUCCGUAGCUGGUCUGAGAGGAUGAUCAGCCACACUGGAACUGAGACACGGUCCAGACUCCUACGGGAGGCAGCAGUGGGGAAUAUUGGACAAAGGGCGCAAGCCUGAUCCAGCCAUACCGCGUGGGUGAAGAAGGCCUUCGGGUUGUAAAGCCCUUUUGUUGGGAAAGAAAAGCAGCAGGUUAAUACCCCGCUGUUCUGACGGUACCCAAAGAAUAAGCACCGGCUAACUUCGUG